rnacentral:lncRNA from 1 species
GAGAUACUUCCUGGACAACUGCUAUAAAAACAACAACAAAUACUUUUAUUAAUUCGGGGAGCCUGGUCACCAACUGGAUGCUCAGAGGGGAGAUGGAACCCUGAGCAGCCCAUGUACAUGGAAGAUCUUUAUUGCAGAGAUCUUCAAACCAGGAAACUGAGGCUAAAGAGUUUAGUAUUCUGCCAAGGCCAGCUAAUAGUUACAGAGCAUGGUUCCAAAUUCAGAGCUGUCGGAAGCUUAAGCCCAUGUGAUGAACCACGAAUGUGAUUUUACCUCAUUUAAGCCUUGCAGCAAACUCUGCCAACUAGUGUGCAUUUACUCCUGCCUCUCCAUGCCUGAAGGAAGGAAUGAAGAGGUCUCUGCUGUCCAUCUGAGCCAGUGACUGGGCUGUCUCUACCAGGCCAGAAUUUGGGGCAGGCAAGAUUUUCAGCAUCCCUAAAAUCACACUAAGAAGAUAAACAUGGAAACAGCUUGGAGCUGCCCUACCCAUAGUGAGGUGGUACUGACUGGAAGACAGCUUAAACGAUUUGGAGAAAAGUGGAAUACAUUAAUCUCAGAAAACUCUACCACCUGUAGAAAGAGAGCUAAAAUGGAGACAACCACAGGCAGUCUAAGAUACGCUGAACUACUACAGAAAAUAAUGCAGCAUGAAGGAAUGCUGGAAGGAUCUUCUAAGGGUGUGAGGAUACAGGCGUCAAAGACCCCGUGCUGAGACAGCUCCAUAACAACAUGCAGAUAUUUGGCAAUGAGGGUUCAGAAGAGGACUUGCUGUGGAGAAGAGAGAAAAGAGAUGGGAAGACUCUGUGAAUGAAUAGAGAACACUCUGCAAGCAUCCCAGUUCCUUUGGUUGCCCUGCAGUCUGCAGGUACCAGGAGAAAUCAAAAGCCGCCUGGAAGGGCUUUCUGUCUGUAUGGAGUCAAGGCAGUGUCUUCAAAUCUGUGCUUUCUAAAACAAAGAAAUAACCUUGAUGAAACAAAUUUUCCCCAGAGGAAGGGGAGAGCCCACAGUGAGCUGGUAAAGAAGAUGCCUGGAGCAGGCAGCAUCCUCAAAUGGAAGAGAUGGUGUCUUGCUAUGUUGCCCAAGCUGGUCUUAAAUUCCUGGCAUCAAGUGAUCCUCCUGCCUCAGCCUCCCAAAGUACUGGGAUUACAGGUAUGAGCCAACGUGCUCAGUUCUUCAAGCAGAACUUUCUGACUUCCCUUUUUUUCCUGAAAGCAUAUAAAACUCCCAUGUAAAAGAUGCCCUCUCUGUACCAGGAGGAAAGAAAUAUCUUUAUCACCAGAGACAGAGACAAUUCUCUGUAAACAACCGAAUUUUGUUAAAACAACUCUUAUCUUUCUUUAGCUUUCCUGUAUAUUUUAAUUACUUUUUCACAAUUGCCUCACUUUGUCCAACAUAGUAGGAAAGCAUUGAGAUUUUGCAACUUCUUUGGGCCGUCGUUUCUUUAUAAAGUCUCUCAACUCACAUAAAACUUAAAAUUAAGUAAAUCUGUAUGUUCCUCUCCUGCUAGUCUGUUUUGUGUCAAUCUAAUUCUCAGGCCCUGCUGGGGUUCCUAUGAAGGUAGAGGUAAAGCUUUGUCUGCCCUACACCAUCCAACAUAGUAUCACUAAUUCUAUUUCAACCAGCAGUGUCUGACAUUACUUCUUUCCCACACCCUUCCCAACACUGAUAUUAUCACAUUUUAAAAACUUUGCUAAUCAGAUAGGUUAAAAAGUGGCAUCUCUUUUUUUAACCCAAAUUUGCCUAAUUACUGAUGACACUGAGGAUUUUUUGUAUUUUUCUUGGCCAUUCAACUUUCCUCCUGCCUGUUCAUGUUAUUUUCUCUUGGUCAUUUGUCUUUUGCUUAUGAAAUUCUCAUUUUUCUUAAUGUAUAUCACUAUACUAACUCUUUGAUACAUGGGCUGUAGAUAUCUUCUAAUAGACUAUUAUUCAUCUUUAUGUGAAUGUUUAUCAUACAGAGGUUUUAAAUUUCAAUGUGGUUACCUGCGCCCUGGAUCUGUUCUCUUCUCACUUCCUCAAGGACUUUUUUACUCCGUGGAUAAUGCCCCUACCCUUCCAGCUUCAACCUCACCCUAAGGAAUCCUUGCAAUUGUUGAGAAACAUACUCUAGUAUGUCCCACGUUUUACAACUUCUUCUUGACCCGUCUCUUUCUCCAAUUGCUGGCCUCUUUUUGCUUUGUUUCAUAGCAACAUUUCUCAAAAGACAGUUUUUUUCAUUCCCUCCACUUCCUCACCACCCCUCCCGUCAUCAUCCUCUGUAGUCUGGCUCUAUGACCACCUCUCUGCUGGAAUUGUUCUUGUUAAGAUCACCAGUCACCUUCAUGGUGCUAGUUGGAGUCACAUCUCUGUUCUCACGUGAUUUAACCUUUUGGCAGCAUUCACCGUGACUGACCAUUUCUCCCUUCAUGAAACAUUUUUUUUUAGUGUUGGCUUCAGUAAGUGAGCUCCCUGUUUUCUUCCUAACUGCCUCAGCACUUCUCAGUACCCUCUGCUGACUCUUCCUCCACCACCAACUCCCUGAAUGUUGGGGUGUCUCCCGGCACAGCCCUAGACUUUCCUCAGUAGCUUCUCAUCAGGUGAACUAACUCCUGUGCCAUUAAAUAUCUUCCAUGUGUUGAUGACCCCCAAAUGCACAGCUCUACCCUUGACCAAUUCCUUGAACUUUAGACUCGUACAUCCAAUUCCCUACUGGACACCUCCCCUUGGUUAUUUCAUACUUAAUGGGUCCAAAAUGGUUCUUUUUGAUUUUCACUGCCUCCCCAAAAAAAACUUUUCCCACCCUGUUUUCCCCUAUCUUGCCAAAAACCCUGUUGCUCAAACCAAAAAACUUAGGAAUCACCCUGAUUUCUCCCUUGACUUCACUUUCUACACCCAGUCCAUCAGCAAGUCCCAAUGUUUCCAUUUCCAAAAUGUUCUCAGCAUCCACCUAUUUUCAUCCGUCUUUGCAACCAUUACCCUAUUCCUUGCACUGACAUCUCUUCCCAGGACUAUAGCUGUAGCCUCCUAAAUGGUCUCCUGCUCCCUUCCUGCUUCCGUCCAGCUCAUUCUCCUAUUAACAUUCUUUUCAGCAUUUAUCCCCAUCUUAAGUUACUGUAAUGACUUAUUUCUUUAUGUCGUUAUUUUCUGUUUCCUCUACUAUUUUGCCAUCUCCGUGAGGGUAGGGACCAGAUAUGUUGUAUCUCUCACCACAUCCCAACUUCUGGCACAUUGAAGAGUCUCAGUAAAUACAUUUGGAUUAAAUAAAUGAGCAAGUGAAUGCAUGAUUUUAAAUAUUAGGUAAUAUUCAUAAUUUGCUCAGAAAAUUCUCCUGAGAUUGGCCACUUCCCAGACUGGUGAAACAGGAGAAAAGGACCUUGUAUAUCUCAAUGACUCCUGAAAAGAGUGUAAAAACAACAUGUUUGGGAACAUACAGUGGAGCAGGAGUUACAAGCUCAAAUGUCUCUGGGUUCUGGCAGGUAACAGAAAUGGGGAGGUUACCAUGUGUAAGCCACAAUGAGUGGUAGCGACCAUCACAAUCUGGAGACCCUCCCAGCUCCAGCUAAUGCAGACUCAUCAGCUCCAGCCAGAUGUGGCCAAGCAGCCAAGGCCCCAAGGGUGAGCGAUCUUCCAAUUUUUUGAAAGAUGGAAGUAUAUGCAUACAAAUUAGAAUUAGUUUUGUUCAAUUUCUCAGACUUGAAAAGAAAAAGAAUCAGUUUUGGCUGUGAGUAAUCAUUUGAAACAGCAACUUAAAUGAAGUAAAGUAUAUUUCUUUCCCACAAAAAGAGGUUUGUGGUAUAUAGUCCAAGACUCAUGAAACUCUAUGGAAUUAGGGACCCAUGCUUCUUCUAACUUGUUGCUCAUCUUGGCAUGGCUUUCAUUCUCGAAGUUGCUUUAUGGCCCAAUGGACUGAGGUAACUCCAGCCAUUACCUCCUCAUUCUGCACACCAGGAAGCAAAAGGGGAAAGAAAGAGCCUGACUUCCUGGAAGCUUCUAUGCCUCACUUUUAUUUCAUUUCAUUAUCUAGAACUUAAUCAUGCUGCAACUUCUAGCUGCAAGGGAGGCUGGAAAGUGUAAUGUUUGUUCUAAGUGGACAUGUGCUCAACUAAGAAAGAAGAGAAGGAUGGAUACUGGAGUUCUAAAGUAGGAGUCUAUGCCAGAGCUGGCUAUUUAUGUGAAAUUCCUAAGUAAGUUUUGACACCAUGACGGCUAAACACAGCAGCUCUGUCACCUGAUUUCAGCAGAGGAGCUUCCAGUGUUGUGAACCGUGCUUAGAGCAGUAAAUGUGAAUGGGAUGCACUUCAGUGUCACAUGGGGCAGCCCGCAAGUCUGGCUGGUGAGGAUCAAAAACAGAUGCAGGUUAGCAGGACUCAGACAGGCAGUGCAAACGGGGGUGUGUUCAGGUACCCUGGGAGGUGGGGGUGGGUUGUGGAAAGCACUGUGAAAGUGGGCCAUGAAUAAAGGGUGAGGGGCUACUGUCUCUUACCUGUACAUCCAAGCUGUGCUCAGGACAUUGGCAGCAACGUGGGAGGUCCCUGGCUUCCCUUACCUUUAGGUCUAAGCAGAUAUCCCAAGGGGUGCAAUUUCUAUUUUCUCUGAAUUAUAAAGUCCCUCUCAGUGUUCUGACCUCUCACACCAGGUCAAGGUCACUCUCUCUGGAGGGAUAAGUGAGCCUGAACCAGAACCAAAUUCCCUGAGAACUCACUGGCCCUUUCCAAUCACUGUCUUCACUACCAGCCCUCUUCAAUCCUCUCUCUCUAGCCCCCUCCAAUCACCCAAAUUAUCCUUUUAGACUUGGACUCAGCCCAGCCUGAGGCUCCAUGACAAUUCCCCUCUAAAUGGCCUCAUCUCUCAGUUACACCAGACCUUCUUGCCAUGGUGGCACCAUGUGGUGGCAGGAAAAGAACUAAAUUUGCAGACAGGCUUCCCCCACUUGAAUUUCUGCACCAAAAGUUACUAGUUGACUGGACUAUAAAUAUUUCCAUAAGUGUAAAUUGGUGCUAAUAGCAUUCUUCUUACCUACUUCACAAGGCUUUUUGGAGGAUUCACAGGGUUCACUUAUGUAAAAGGUCUUCAUUUUUAAAAACUAGUCUAAAUAGUUCUGCAUACAAAUUUAAGGUUUCAGUAAAGAUUCUCUGUAACUGCCCAUAUAUGUUUAAAAUUAAUGACUUUAUUGACACAAACUUUGCAAUGAAAAGUGGUAUCCUAAUAGGAUAGUAAGGAUUAGUUUCUGUCUCAUACAUACAUGAAAAAGUAGCCAGAUGCAUUUUUAGUCACAUGGUUUAACUUCUGGUUGCUGUCUCCGUGAAAUCCAGAUUGUUCUGGGGAGGGCCAGAUCAUGUGCCCUGCAUUUCCUUCUCCCCUGUAAGUGAGAAAGUGUUUCUAUAUAAAACAGAGACACUUUCUUAAGGUGAUAAAUUCCAAACAACAUGCAGCAGUGAACUGAUGCAGAAACAAAGCUGUAAAGAGAAGCCACAAAGCACAUCCCCAGGGAGAAAGAGCCCUUGAACUUGCAGGAUCACUGCCAACCUUUGGCAGCUGGGGGCUCCUGCUGAGUAAUGCCAGUGGGGACAUAUGAAUCACAGGUUUUUCUUUUAUCUUAUUAUUGUUAAAAACAUUUUUUAGAACAUAAAGUUCCUAAAAGCCCUUUCUCAAAGAAUCACAAAAUGAUGAAGGUUUAGAAAAACUAUAGUUGCGUGUAUGGUAAAGUCUUGUACAUUGAUUAGAACACCUAGUUUAAGACACAAACCUACCCUGAAUAUAAAAGUUUCCAUUGCAGAGUGAUUUGCAACACACACUAUACCUUAAGGGUCUAAUUCAGUCUCCUAGUUAUGAAGUCACUGUUAGAUUCAGGAUAGAUAGUCACGACUAACCAGACCCCAAAUCCCUCAACAUCUGCAUAGUACCUGGCACAGGAUGGACAUUUAAUGUUUUGUGAAUAAAUAUACAAUCUGCCAAUGGAAGGAAGGAAGGAAAAAUGACACUACCCACUUGUGUUUGAAGAAUAACAGAGUUAGCAGAUAAGGAGGUUGCGUAUCUGACUUUUGACCUGCAUGUCAGUUCUCUGGACUAUGUUACAUAAACAUAACACCAAUAGGCUGCCUAUUUCUGCUAAACAUGGAAUUUAUUGAUAUAGUUUGGCACAACUUUAGUCCUAUCUUUCCCAAUCCCAGGCAUGUUAACAAUCCUUGAAAAAUCAUGCUACAUUACUUUGGAGGAAAAUACUUCCAGAUGAACAUGUUUCAAGACAUACUAGAAAAUUAUUCCUAUCAAAACAUCCUUUUUCUGUGUCAGCUACCUCAUUUCUAAUGCAGUGCACAUCAAUCUAAUGUCAGUAUGAAUACACAUCAACCAGGUGCUGGCUUUCUAAAGUGAUUCCUUUGCAGAUGCCAAAAUGACAGUCCUGGGGCAGUGUACAGAGAGGCCAAGGGGAAGCCAUGCCUGCUGCCACAUGUCUCUGGAUCAUCUCCCUCUCCUACGCAGUGUUCAAUCUUUGAUUAACAAUUGCAAGUGACCCCGAUAGAGAGGGAAGACAG